CAAAGCGGUUCAGAACUGAAACGUGGCCGCGCUCGGUGCGUGAGACGCUUGGGGCGAGGGUAGGAGCCGGCUCUGUGGUGUCCCACAAUGCUUCGCGCCCGCCUCGCCUCCUCUGUCUCCCACAAUGCCCUGCGGCUCUCGCUUGUCUCAGCUGGAGUGUUUUUAUCAGAACACCUUGAGGGGGUCCACGCGUUACCUGUGCCUGUUAUCUGUGGCACCAACGCAGGGGAAUCUGCCUCACAUAUGGAGUUUAAGAACUCAGGGUUCAGCUUUGGCAUAGAAGAACGCUGGCAGACUUCCGAGGCCACAUGGUGGUGAGUGGGUGAUGCGUUUUCCAGCUCUGAAAUUGCCAGUACCUAAAGGAGUGAUCUGACCACUCAAAGCCACUGCUGCUGAGGAAGCCCAGCCUCCCCACGUGGACCCACCACAUAGGCAGACCCCAGAGCAUCAAUUUCUUGAAAUCUUUGUGUUCAAGAUCUUCUAUUCAUGGGCAGCCUUAUAGGCUCGACUGAAAGGCUCAGCCUCGCAUGCAGACCAGACCCCAGGUUCUCCAGCGGAUUCACCAGUGUGUCGUGGGACUGCUGAGGAGGGCAGCCCCACUUCCAGUGAGCCAACCUGCAUCUCCCCUGCCCUUCCUAAAACCACGAGGUCAUUUCUCAACGAGAAAACCCGAGGCUCCAAGAGGAUGGCUGUGCUCAAGGCCAGCUAGUCAAGGAACAGCCGAAACAAAGAGUUCUUCACAGGGCUGGGGGAUCAAACCCAGGACCUUCUGCAUGAGAGGCAUAUGUUCUACUGGCAAGCCGUGUUCCUAGCUAUGAAAUGUACUUUCAAUUUACAUGUAAAUCUUGUAUUUCACACAUAAAUCCAGA